rnacentral:rRNA from 1 species
GAUGAACGCUGGCGGCGUGCCUAAUACAUGCAAGUCGAGCGAACGGACGAGAAGCUUGCUUCUCUGAUGUUAGCGGCGGACGGGUGAGUAACACGUGGAUAACCUACCUAUAAGACUGGGAUAACUUCGGGAAACCGGAGCUAAUACCGGAUAAUAUUUUGAACCGCAUGGUUCAAAAGUGGAAGACGGUCUUGCUUUCACUUAUAGAUGGAUCCGCGCUGCAUUAGCUAGUUGGUAAGGUAACGGCUUACCAAGGCAACGAUGCAUAGCCGACCUGAGAGGGUGAUCGGCCACACUGGAACUGAGACACGGUCCAGACUCCUACGGGAGGCAGCAGUAGGGAAUCUUCCGCAAUGGGCGAAAGCCUGACGGAGUAACGCCGCGUGAGUGAUGAAGGUCUUCGGAUCGUAAAACUCUGUUAUUAGGGAAGAACAUAUGUGUAAGUAACUGCGCACAUCUUGACGGUACCUAAUCAGAAAGCCACGGCUAACUACGUG